rnacentral:tRNA from 1 species
GGGGCCAUAGCUCAAUUGGGAGAGCGCUACAAUGGCAUUGUAGAGGUCGGCGGUUCGAUCCCGCCUAGCUCCACCA